rnacentral:rRNA from 1 species
CAGUCGCCGCGGUAAUACGGAGGGAGCUAGCGUUGUUCGGAAUCACCGGGCGUAAAGCGCACGUAGGCGGCUAUUCAAGUCAGGGGUGAAAGCCCGGGGCUCAACCCCGGAACUGCCUUUGAAACUAGAUAGCUUGAAUCUUGGAGAGGCGAGUGGAAUUCCGAGUGUAGAGGUGAAAUUCGUAGAUAUUCGGAAGAACACCAGUGGCGAAGGCGACUCGUUGGACAAGUAUUGACGCUGAGGUGCGAAAGCGUGGGGAGCAAACAGGAUUAGAUACCCCAGUAGUCCCUGUCUCUUAUAC